CCUACGGGAGGCAGCAGUCGAGAAUCAUUCACAAUGGGGGAAACCCUGAUGGUGCGACGCCGCGUAGGGGAAUGAAGGUCUUCGGAUUGUAAACCCCUGUCAUGUGGGAGCAAAUUAAAAAGAUAGUACCACAAGAGGAAGAGACGGCUAACUCUGUGCCAGCAGCCGCGGUAAUACAGAGGUCUCAAGCGUUGUUCGGAAUCACUGGGCGUAAAGCGUGCGUAGGCUGUUUCGUAAGUCGUGUGUGAAAGGCGCGGGCUCAACCCGCGGACGGCACAUGAUACUGCGAGACUAGAGUGAUGGAGGGGGAACCGGAAUUCUCGGUGUAGCAGUGAAAUGCGUAGAUAUCGAGAGGAACACUCGUGGCGAAGGCGGGUUCCUGGACAUUAACUGACGCUGAGGCACGAAGGCCAGGGGAGCGAAAGGGAUUAGAUACCCGAGUAGUC
rnacentral:rRNA from 1 species